UAUGAGUUCAGUGUGUCUCUCGUGGAGCUCCACAGACGCACUCUGGACGUCGCGGUGAAGAACGGAGGAGGACUGCUCUCCAAACACAAAGGCCUUCUGGGAAAGGUUCUGGUGGAUUUGACGUACGAGGACACGUCUAAGGGUUGGACACAAUGGUAUGAGCUGAGUGAAGAUGGUCUGACGAAACCUCAACAACUAUAGAGCGAAACAACCAUCACAAUCACCAUCAUCAUCAUCAUCGCAAUCAUCAUCACCACA